rnacentral:tRNA from 1 species
GACCGCCUCGGUAGCCUAGUGGUAGAGCGUCCGCUUCGAGUGCGGGAGGUCCUGGGUUCGAUCCCCGGCCGCGUCA